GUACUUGGUGUUACUGCGAAGGGGGGACGGAGAAGGCUAUGUUGGCCGGGCGACGGUUGUCCCGGUUUAAGCGUGUAGGUGUGUGUUCCAGGUAAAUCCGGUUCACUUUAACACUGAGGCGUGACGACGAGGCACUACGGUGCUGAAGCAACAAAUGCCCUGCUUCCAGGAAAAGCCUCUAAGCAUCAGGUAACAUCAAAUCGUACCCCAAACCGACACAGGUGGUCAGGUAGAGAAUACCAAGGCGCUUGAGAGAACUCGGGUGAAGGAACUAGGCAAAAUGGUGCCGUAACUUCGGGAGAAGGCACGCUGACACGUAGGUGAAGUGAUUUACUCAUGGAGCUGAAGUCAGUCGAAGAUACCAGCUGGCUGCAACUGUUUAUUAAAAACACAGCACUGUGCAAACACGAAAGUGGACGUAUACGGUGUGACGCCUGCCCGGUGCCGGAAGGUUAAUUGAUGGGGUCAGCGCAAGCGAAGCUCCUGAUCGAAGCCCCGGUAAACGGCGGCCGUAACUAUAACGGUCCUAAGGUAGCGAAAUUCCUUGUCGGGUAAGUUCCGACCUGCACGAAUGGCGUAAUGAUGGCCAGGCUGUCUCCACCCGAGACUCAGUGAAAUUGAACUCGCUGUGAAGAUGCAGUGUACCCGCGGCAAGACGGAAAGACCCCGUGAACCUUUACUAUAGCUUGACACUGAACAUUGAGCCUUGAUGUGUAGGAUAGGUGGGAGGCUUUGAAGUGUGGACGCCAGUCUGCAUGGAGCCGACCUUGAAAUACCACCCUUUAAUGUUUGAUGUUCUAACGUGGACCCGUGAUCCGGGUUGCGGACAGUGUCUGGUGGGUAGUUUGACUGGGGCGGUCUCCUCCUAAAGAGUAACGGAGGAGCACGAAGGUUGGCUAAUCCUGGUCGGACAUCAGGAGGUUAGUGCAAUGGCAUAAGCCAGCUUGACUGCGAGCGUGACGGCGCGAGCAGGUGCGAAAGCAGGUCAUAGUGAUCCGGUGGUUCUGAAUGGAAGGGCCAUCGCUCAACGGAUAAAAGGUACUCCGGGGAUAACAGGCUGAUACCGCCCAAGAGUUCAUAUCGACGGCGGUGUUUGGCACCUCGAUGUCGGCUCAUCACAUCCUGGGGCUGAAGUAGGUCCCAAGGGUAUGGCUGUUCGCCAUUUAAAGUGGUACGCGAGCUGGGUUUAGAACGUCGUGAGACAGUUCGGUCCCUAUCUGCCGUGGGCGCUGGAGAACUGAGGGGGGCUGCUCCUAGUACGAGAGGACCGGAGUGGACGCAUCACUGGUGUUCGGGUUGUCAUGCCAAUGGCACUGCCCGGUAGCUAAAUGCGGAAGAGAUAAGUGCUGAAAGCAUCUAAGCACGAAACUUGCCCCGAGAUGAGUUCUCCCUGAGACUUAAAGUCUCCUGAAGGAACGUUGAAGACGACGACGUUGAUAGGCCGGGUGUGUAAGCGCAGCGAUGCGUUGAGCUAACCGGUACUAAUGAACCGUGAGGCUUAACCUUACAACGCCGAAG
rnacentral:rRNA from 1 species